rnacentral:rRNA from 1 species
AGUGAAGCGGCAAGAGCUCAAAUUUGAAAGCUGGCUCCUUCGGGGUCCGCAUUGUAAUUUGCAGAGGAUGCUUUGGGUGCGGCCCCCGUCUAAGUGCCCUGGAACGGGCCGUCAGAGAGGGUGAGAAUCCCGUCUUGGGCGGGGUGUCCGUGCCCGUGUAAAGCUCCUUCGACGAGUCGAGUUGUUUGGGAAUGCAGCUCUAAAUGGGUGGUAAAUUUCAUCUAAAGCUAAAUACUGGCCGGAGACCGAUAGCGCACAAGUAGAGUGAUCGAAAGAUGAAAAGCACUUUGAAAAGAGAGUUAAACAGCACGUGAAAUUGUUGAAAGGGAAGCGCUUGCGACCAGACUCGCCCGCGGGGUUCAGCCGGCAUUCGUGCCGGUGUACUUCCCCGUGGGCGGGCCAGCGUCGGUUUGGGCGGCCGGUCAAAGGCCUCUGGAAUGUAGUG